GUUUACGGCCAUACCACCCUGAACACGCCCGAUCUCGUCUGAUCUCGGAAGCUAAGCAGGGUCGGGCCUGGUUAGUACUUGGAUGGGAGACCGCCUGGGAAUACCAGGUGCUGUAAGCU
ensembl:rRNA 5S_rRNA 5S ribosomal RNA